rnacentral:rRNA from 1 species
CUCAGAUCAGGCAAGAUUACCCGCUGAG